AGUGAACGCUGGCGGUAGGCCUAACACAUGCAAGUCGAACGGCAGCACAGGAGAGCUUGCUCUCUGGGUGGCGAGUGGCGGACGGGUGAGGAAUACAUCGGAAUCUACUUUUUCGUGGGGGAUAACGUAGGGAAACUUACGCUAAUACCGCAUACGACCUACGGGUGAAAGCAGGGGCUCUUCGGACCUUGCGCGAUUGAACGAGCCGAUGUCGGAUUAGCUAGUUGGCGGGGUAAAGGCCCACCAAGGCGACGAUCCGUAGCUGGUCUGAGAGGAUGAUCAGCCACACUGGAACUGAGACACGGUCCAGACUCCUACGGGAGGCAGCAGUGGGGAAUAGUGGACAAUGGGCGCAAGCCUGAUCCAGCAAUACCGCGUGGGUGAAGAAGGCCCUCGGGUUGUAAAGCCCUUUUGUUGGGAAAGAAAUCCAGCUGGUUAAUACCCGGUUGGGAUGACGGUACCCAAAGAAUAAGCACCGGCUAACUUCGUGCCAGCCGCCGCAGUAA
rnacentral:rRNA from 1 species